rnacentral:tRNA from 2 species
AGGGGUAUAGCUCAGUUGGUAGAGCGUCGGUCUCCAAAACCGAAGGUCCUGGGUUCGAACCCUAGUGCCCCUGCCA